AUUGAACGCUAGCGGGAUGCCUUACACAUGCAAGUCGAACGGACUGGCGAACGGGUGAGUAAUGUAUCGGAACGUGCCCAUUAGCGGGGGAUAACUACGCGAAAUCGUAGCUAAUACCGCAUACUAUUGGAGCUGCCUCUAUCGGAUUAGCUAGUUGUUGGGGUAACGGCUCACCAAGGCGACGAACCGUAGCUGGUUUGCGAGGACGACCAGCCACACUGGGACUGAGACACGGCCCAGACUCCUACGGGAGGCAGCAGUGGGGAAUUUUGGACAAUGGGGGAAACCCUGAUCCAGCCAUCCCGCGUGUGCGAUGAAGGCCUUCGGGUUGUAAAGCACUUUUGGCAGGAAAGCGGUACCUGCAGAAUAAGCACCGGCUAACUACGUGCCAGCAGCCGCGGUAAUUC
rnacentral:rRNA from 1 species